rnacentral:rRNA from 1 species
AGAGUUUGAUCCUGGCUCAGAUUGAACGCUGGCGGCAUGGAUUAGGCAUGCAAGUCGAACGAGACGCUAUAGCUUGCUAUAGUUGAGAGUGGCGAAAGGGUGAGUAACAAGUGAGUAACCUACCUCUAACUCGGGGAUAGCCCAUGGAAACGUGGAUUAAUACCGGAUGUGAAUUCAGAAUCGCAUGGUUCUGAGUUUUAAAAUUUUUUGGUUGGAGAUGAGCUCGCUUCCCAUUAGCUUGUUGGUAAGGUAACGGCUUACCAAGGCUACGACGGGUAGGUGGUCUGAGAGGAUGGUCACCCACACUGGAACUGAGACACUGUCCAGACUCCUACGGGAGGCUGCAGUCGAGAAUCUUCCGCAAUGGACGAAAGUCUGACGGAGCGAUGCCGCGUGAAUGAUGAAGGCCUUCGGGUUGUAAAAUUCUGUCACCAGGGGCGAAAUUUGACGGUACCUGGAGAGGAAGUGACGGCUAACUACGUGCCAGCAGCCGCGGUAAUACGUAGGUCACGAGCGUUAAUCGGAUUUAUUGGGCGUAAAGGGUCCGCAGGGGGUUUGUUAAGUCUGAUGUGAAAGCCAACGGCUCAACCGUUGAACUGCAUUGGAAACUGACAAACUAGAGUAUCGGAGAGGUAAGUGGAAUUCUUGGUGUAGCGGUGGAAUGCUUAGAUAUCAAGAGGAACAUCAUUAGCGAAGGCGGCUUACUGGACGAUUACUGACCCUCAUGGACGAAAGCGUGGGUAGCAAACAGGAUUAGAUACCCUGGUAGUCCACGCCGUAAACGGUCUAUACUAGAUGUGGGAGGAUUUGACCCCUUCCGUGUCCAAGCUAACGCGUUAAGUAUAGCGCCUGGGGAGUACGGUCGCAAGAUUAAAACUCAAAGGAAUUGACGGGGGCCCGCACAAGCGGUGGAGCAUGUGGCUUAAUUCGAGGCAACGCGAAGAACCUUACCUGGUCUUGACAUAUAUCUGACAGUUUCAGAGAUGAUUCCCUCUUUCGAGACAGAUAUACAGGUGCUGCAUGGCUGUCGUCAGCUCGUGCUGUGAAGUGUUCGGUUAAGUCCGGCAACGAGCGCAACCCACGUCGUUAGUUACUAACUGGUAAUGCAGAGGACUCUAGCGAGACUGCCCGUGACAAGCGGGAGGAAGGCGUGGAUGACGUCAAGUCAGUAUGGCCCUUACGACCAGGGCUGCACACGUGCUACAAUGGGUGGUACAGAAGGAAGCUAACCUGCGAAGGCACGCAAAUCCCAAAAACCAUCCCCAGUUCGGAUAGGAGUCUGCAACUCGACUCCUUGAAGUCGGAAUCGCUAGUAAAGGCGUAUCAGCUACGACGCCUUGAAUACGUUCCCGGGCCUUGUACACACCGCCCGUCACAUCAUGGAAGCUGACUGCACCCGAAGUCGUUGGCCCAACCUGCUUGCAGGAGGGAGGCGCCGAAGGUGUGCUCAGUAACUAGGAUGAAGUCGUAACAAGGUA